UACGUAGGGGGCAAGCGUUGUCCGGAUUUACUGGGCGUAAAGCGCGUUCAGGCGGUUUGGCAAGUCGGGCAUGAAAUCUCUCGGCUCAACCGGGAGAGGUUGUCCGAUACUGCUGGACUUGAGGGCAGUAGAGGGUGGUGGAAUUCCGGGUGUAGUGGUGAAAUGCGUAGAUAUCCGGAGGAACACCAGUGGCGAAAGCGGCCACCUGGACUGCACCUGACGCUGACACGCGAAAGCUAGGGGAGCGAACGGG
rnacentral:rRNA from 1 species